AGAGUUUGAUUCAUUUUCUUUAUUUUGAUUUCUGAAAAUGCAAAUGCAAAAACGGAUAAUCUAGCACGGAAAUAUUUUAUACAACCACAUUUUAUCAUCUAU
rnacentral:sRNA from 1 species